UACGGAGGGGGCCAGCGUUGUUCGGAAUUAUUGGGCGUAAAGGGCGCGUAGGCGGUCGGGUAAGUCUGACGUGAAAUCCCUUGGCUCAACCAAGGAACUGCGUCUUAAACCGCCCGGCUUGAGUCCGGGAGAGGGUAGUGGAAUUCCCAGUGUAGCGGUGAAAUGCGUAGAUAUUGGGAGGAACACCGGUGGCGAAGGCGGCUACCUGGACCGGUACUGACGCUGAGGCGCGAAAGCU
rnacentral:rRNA from 1 species